UAGGGAAUAUUGGUAAUGUGCGAAAGCGCGAACCAGCAACGCCGCGUGCACGAUGAAGGCCUUCGGGUUGUAAAGUGCUUUUAGAGAGGAUGAGGAAGGACAGUACUUUCUGAAUAAGCCUCGGCUAACUACGUGCCAGCAGCCGCGGUAAAACGUAGGAGGCUAGCGUUAUCCGGAUUUACUGGGCGUAAAGCGCGUGCAGGUGGUUUCGUAAGUUGGAUGUGAAAGCUCCUGGCUUAACUGGGAGAGGUCGUUCAAAACUGCGAGGCUUGAGAGUGGUAGAGGGAGGUGGAAUUCCGGGUGUAGUUGUGAAAUGCGUAGAUAUCCGGAGGAACACCAGUGGCGAAAGCGGCCUCCUGGACCAUUUCUGACACUCAGACGCGAA
rnacentral:rRNA from 1 species